UCGUGCUAAACGGGGAGCUAGCGGUGCCCUGUACCCGCAAUCCGCUAUAGCGGGGUUGAAUGCCCUUUUGCGGCCUGUGAUUUCUUGGGACUGCUUCGGUCAAGCGGCGUUGAAGGCUGGGUCCUGCGCGGCAGAAACCUCCGAACCCCGCCAGGUCCGGGAGGAAGCAACGGUAAGGAGUGCUUUCUGGGUGACGCAGGGUCGCCUGGCUGGAGUUGGCUGACCGGGCAAGCCGGGGGAUGCAGGUCAAGGAAGGGUGCACGA
rnacentral:SRP_RNA from 1 species